AUCAUGGAGAGUUUGAUCCUGGCUCAGAACGAACGCUGGCGGCGCGUCUUAAGCAUGCAAGUCGAGCGGCAACCGGGGUUUACUCCGGCUAGAGCGGCGGACUGGUGAGUAACGCGUGGGUGAUCUACCCGUAGGUUGGGGAUAGCCUGUAGAAAUACAGGGUAAUACCGAAUAUCCCUGCCGGACCUUAGUCUGGCAAGGAAAGGCGCUUCGGCGUCGCCUGUGGAUGAGCCCGCGUACUAUUAGCUUGUUGGUGAGGUAAUGGCCCACCAAGGCUAUGAUAGUUAGCCGGCCUGAGAGGGUGAUCGG
rnacentral:rRNA from 1 species